rnacentral:rRNA from 1 species
CAAAUGACUCUCGGCAACGGAUAUCUCGGCUCAUGCAUCGAUGAAGAACGUAGCAAAAUGCGAUACUUGGUGUGAAUUGCAGAAUCCCGUGAACCAUCGAGUUUUUGAACGCAAGUUGCGCCCGAAGCCUUUUGGCYAAGGGCACGUCUGCCUGGGCGUCACAC